rnacentral:sRNA from 1 species
GUGGUCAUAGGAAUUGUAUCUCAAUCAUAGCUUUCAGAGAGGGCAAGUUCCACUCAUCAUUACCUCGAGCUCCUGG